GUUUGGUCAUCACAGAGCUCAAGUCAUAGGACCAUAGCAUGCCAUGUUGUGGUUGAUGCAGAUCUGAGAUGACACCGAGGCAACGAGAUAGCGGGCGGCAGGCCGCUGAUGAAUAAUGACGACGACAAUUUUCACAAUUAUCUGGAGUUGGAGGCUAAGCCGGUGGACAAAGGUAGUGGAAGACCUGGUCAAUGUCGGGGAUGUCGGCGGUCCUGUCUCCCUCAUCUAUUGCAUCAGACCGUCUUCUCCUCAUUGUCAUGAUGCUUCAGAACUGUUGUUGGCCUCAUGCUGUUUGUGAAUCCUCUGACACCAAUUAUUGGAAGAGAUGGAGACAAUUCUGUAUAGUUUGACCAUGAUCUGAAGAGACCAAGAAUGAUGGCGUGGCAAUCCCAGAACUAAAAGUUUCUCCAUCAGCCCUGUUCUUUGCUUCAAUUGUGAUUCUGGAACUGAAGCUUCAUCACCAUCAUUCUGUCGCUGGUCACAUGACUGAAUGAUUCGAUGGGGCAGGGAAUUUUCAUUUGCAUUGAGCGGACACAGAAUGUGAACGACAUAAUUUUCGCUGGCUCAAAGAUACAG